UACGUAGGGUGCAAGCGUUAAUCGGAAUUACUGGGCGUAAAGCGUGCGCAGGCGGUUAUGCAAGACAGAUGUGAAAUCCCCGGGCUUAACCUGGGAACCGCAUUUGUGACUGCAUAGCUGGAGUACGGCAGAGGGGGAUGGAAUUCCGCGUGUAGCAGUGAAAUGCGUAGAUAUGCGGAGGAACACCGAUGGCGAAGGCAAUCCCCUGGGCCUGCACUGACGCUCAUGCACGAAAGCGUGGGAGCAAACAGG
rnacentral:rRNA from 1 species